CAGUCGACGAACCAUCCUGUUGAUUGAAGCUUGCUUCUUGAUUCAGAUUUUGGUGAGUGGCGGACGGGUGAGUAACACGUGGGUAACCUGCCCAAAAGUGGGGGAUAACAUUUGGAAACAAGUGCUAAUACCGCAUAACAACUGCUUUCACAUGAUCGCAGCUUGAAAGAUGGCUCUGCUAUCGCUUUUGGAUGGACCCGCGGCGUAUUAGCUAGUUGGUGAGGUAAUAGCUCACCAAGGCAAUGAUACGUAGCCGACCUGAGAGGGUAAUCGGCCACAUUGGGACUGAGACACGGCCCAAACUCCUACGGGAGGCAGCAGUAGGGAAUCUUCCACAAUGGGCGAAAGCCUGAUGGAGCAAUGCCGCGUGAGUGAAGAAGGUUUUCGGAUCGUAAAACUCUGUUGUUGAAGAAGAACAUGCGUGAGAGUAACUGUUCACGUACUGACGGUAUUCAACCAGAAAGCCACGGCUAACUACGUGCCAGCAGCCGCGGUAAUACGUAGGUGGCAAGCGUUGUCCGGAUUUAUUGGGCGUAAAGAGAAUGUAGGCGGUUUAUUAAGUUUGAAGUGAAAGCCCUCGGCUCAACCGAGGAAGUGCUUCGAAA
rnacentral:rRNA from 1 species